rnacentral:rRNA from 1 species
CCGUCAAUUCAUUUGAGUUUUAACCUUGCGGCCGUACUCCCCAGGCGGUCAACUUAUCGCGUUAGCUACGUUACUAAAAGCCAAAAUGCUCCCAACAACUAGUUGACAUCGUUUACGGCGUGGACUACCAGGGUAUCUAAUCCUGUUUGCUACCCACGCUUUCGUACCUCAGCGUCAGUGUUGGUCCAGGAAGUCGCCUUCGCCACUGGUGUUCCUCCGGAUAUCUACGCAUUUCACCGCUACACCCGGAAUUCCACUUCCCUCUACCACACUCUAGUUCAGCAGUUUCAAAUGCAGUUCCCAGGUUAAGCCCAGGGCUUUCACAUCUGACUUACUAAACCGCCUACGCACGCUUUACGCCCAGUAAUUCCGAAUAACGCUCGCACCCUCUGUAUUACCGCGGCUGCUGGCACAGAGUUAGCCGGUGCUUCUCCUAAAGUUAACGUCAAGACUCGAGGGUAUUAUCCCCAAGCUUUUCUUCACAAUUGAAAGUGCUUUACAACCCGCAGGCCUUCUCCACACACGCGGUAUUGCUGGAUCAGGCUUUCGCCCAUUGUCCAAUAUU